UACAGAGGGUGCGAGCGUUAAUCGGAAUUACUGGGCGUAAAGCGCGCGUAGGCGGCUUUGCAAGUCGGGUGUGAAAUCCCCAGGCUUAACCUGGGAACUGCAUUCGAGACUGCAUUGCUAGAGUAUGGGAGAGGGAAGUGGAAUUUCCGGUGUAGCGGUGAAAUGCGUAGAUAUCGGAAGGAACAUCAGUGGCGAAAGCGACUUCCUGGACCAGCACUGACACUGAGGCACGAAAGCGUGGGGAGCAAACAGG
rnacentral:rRNA from 1 species